GGCAGCAGUGAGGAAUAUUGGACAAUGGGCGCAAGCCUGAUCCAGCCAUGCCGCGUGCAGGAUGACGGUCCUAUGGAUUGUAAACUGCUUUUAUACGAGAAGAAACAUCCCGACGUGUCGGGACUUGACGGUAUCGUAAGAAUAAGGAUCGGCUAACUCCGUGCCAGCAGCCGCGGUAAUACGGAGGAUCCAAGCGUUAUCCGGAAUCAUUGGGUUUAAAGGGUCCGUAGGCGGUUUAAUAAGUCAGUGGUGAAAGCCCAUCGCUCAACGGUGGAACGGCCAUUGAUACUGUUAGACUUGAAUUAUUAGGAAGUAACUAGAAUAUGUAGUGUAGCGGUGAAAUGCUUAGAGAUUACAUGGAAUACCAAUUGCGAAGGCAGGUUACUACUAAUGGAUUGACGCUGAUGGACGAAAGCGUGGGUAGCGAACAGGAUUAGAUACCCUGGUAGUCCACGCCGUAAACGAUGGAUACUAGCUGUUGGGUGCAAACUCAGUGGCUAAGCGAAAGUGAUAAGUAUCCCACCUGGGGGUACGUUCGCAAGAAUGAAACUUAAUGAAUUGACGG
rnacentral:rRNA from 1 species